GGCUCCGUAGCUCAGCUGGAUAGAGCAGCUGACUUCUAAUCAGCAGGUCUCAGGUUCGAAUCCUGACGGAGUCA
rnacentral:tRNA from 1 species